rnacentral:rRNA from 1 species
UACGUAGGGUGCAAGCGUUAAUCGGAAUUACUGGGCGUAAAGCGUGCGCAGGCGGUUGUGCAAGACAGAUGUGAAAUCCCCGGGCUUAACCUGGGAACUGCGUCUGAUACUGGAUGGCUUGAGUUUGGGAGAGGGAUGCGGAAUUCCAGGUGUAGCGGUGAAAUGCGUAGAUAUCUGGAGGAACACCGGUGGCGAAGGCGGCAUCCUGGACCGGCAUUGACGCUGAGGCGCGAAAGCCAGGGGAGCAAACGGG